rnacentral:rRNA from 1 species
CAAGUCGAACGGCAGCACAGCAGUAGCAAUACUGUGGGUGGCGAGUGGCGGACGGGUGAGGAAUACAUCGGAAUCUGCCCAGUCGUGGGGGAUAACGUAGGGAAACUUACGCUAAUACCGCAUACGACCUUAGGGUGAAAGCGGGGGAUCGCAAGACCUCGCGCGAUUGGAUGAGCCGAUGUCGGAUUAGCUAGUUGGCGGGGUAAAGGCCCACCAAGGCGACGAUCCGUAGCUGGUCUGAGAGGAUGAUCAGCCACACUGGAACUGAGACACGGUCCAGACUCCUACGGGAGGCAGCAGUGGGGAAUAUUGGACAAUGGGCGCAAGCCUGAUCCAGCCAUGCCGCGUGGGUGAAGAAGGCCUUCGGGUUGUAAAGCCCUUUUGUCCGGAAAGAAAUCCUGUCGGUUAAUAACCGGCAGGGAUGACGGUACCGGAAGAAUAAGCACCGGCUAACUUCGUGCCAGCAGCCGCGGUAAUACGAAGGGUGCAAGCGUUACUCGGAAUUACUGGGCGUAAAGCGUGCGUAGGUGGUUCGUUAAGUCCGAUGUGAAAGCCCUGGGCUCAACCUGGGAAUGGCAUUGGAUACUGGCGGGCUAGAGUGCGGUAGAGGGCAGUGGAAUUCCCGGUGUAGCAGUGAAAUGCGUAGAGAUCGGGAGGAACAUCUGUGGCGAAGGCGACUGCCUGGACCAGCACUGACACUGAGGCACGAAAGCGUGGGGAGCAAACAGGAUUAGAUAACCUGGUAGUCCACGCCCUAAACGAUGCGAACUGGAUGUUGGGAGCAACUAGGCUCUCAGUAUCGAAGCUAACGCGUUAAGUUCGCCGCCUGGGGAGUAC